rnacentral:misc_RNA from 1 species
GUGUAUAAGAGACAGGUGAAUCAUCGAAUCUUUGAACGCACAUUGCGCCCCUUGGUAUUCCAUUGGGCAUGCCUGUUCGAGCGUCAUUUACACCCUCAAGCCUAGCUUGGUGUUGGGCGUCUGUCCCUGUUUCGCGCAGGGACUCGCCCUAAAUACAUUGGCAGCGACGUUGUCGGCUUCUUGCGCAGCACUUUGCGCUUUGGGGUCUUCCAGCGUGAUCGCAUCCAUAAGAAUUAUCUAGUUUGACCUCGAAUCAGGUAGGGAUACCCGCUGAACUUAAGCAUAUCAAUAAGCGGAGGA